GUGGGGAAUAUUCCGCAAUGGACGAAAGUCUGACGGAGCAACGCCGCGUGAGUGAUGAAGGUUUUCGGACUGUAAAGCUCUGUUGUUUAGGACGAAAGUGCCUGUUGCAAACAGUUACAGGUAUUGACGGUACUAAACGAGGAAGCCACGGCUAACUACGUGCCAGCAGCCGCGGUAAUACGUAGGUGGCAAGCGUUGUCCGGAAUUAUUGGGCGUAAAGAGCAUGUAGGCGGGCAUCUAAGUCUGUUGUGAAAAUGCGGGGCUCAACCCCGUAUUGGGAUGGUAACUGGGUGUCUUGAGUGCAGGAAGGGAAAGGGGAAGUCCCAGUGUAGCGGUGAAAUGCGUAGAUAUUGGGAGGAACACCAGUGGCGAAGGCGCCUUUCUGGACUGUGUCUGACGCUGAGAUGCGAAAGCCAGGGUAGCGAACGGGAUUAGAAGCCCGAGUGUCC
rnacentral:rRNA from 1 species